UACGUAGGGUCCGAGCGUUGUCCGGAAUUAUUGGGCGUAAAGGGCUCGUAGGCGGUUUGUCGCGUCGGGAGUGAAAACCCAGGGCUUAACCCUGGGCCUGCUUCCGAUACGGGCAGACUAGAGGUAUGCAGGGGAGAACGGAAUUCCUGGUGUAGCGGUGAAAUGCGCAGAUAUCAGGAGGAACACCGGUGGCGAAGGCGGGUCUCUGGGCCGUAACUGACGCUGAGGAGCGAAAGCGUGGGGAGCGAACAGG
rnacentral:rRNA from 1 species